rnacentral:rRNA from 1 species
CCUACGGGCGGCAGCAGUGAGGACUAUUGGUCAAUGGACGAGAGUCUGAACCAGCCAAGUAGCGUGAAGGAUGACUGCCCUAUGGGUUGUAAACUUCUUUUAUAUGGGAAUAAAAUGUUCCACGUGUGGGAUUUUGUAUGUACCAUAUGAAUAAGGAUCGGCUAACUCCGUGCCAGCAGCCGCGGUAAUACGGAGGAUCCGAGCGUUAUCCGGAUUUAUUGGGUUUAAAGGGAGCGUAGGUGGAUUGUUAAGUCAGUUGUGAAAGUUUGCGGCUCAACCGUAAAAUUGCAGUUGAAACUGGCAGUCUUGAGUACAGUAGAGGUGGGCGGAAUUCGUGGUGUAGCGGUGAAAUGCUUAGAUAGCACGAAGAACUCCGAUUGCGAAGGCAGUUCACUGGACUGCAACUGACACUGAGGCUCGAAAGUGUGGGUAUCAAACAGGAUUAGAUACCCGUGUAGUC